GAUUUUUUCAUUUCUUUAAGCUACUUGUGUGUUGAGAUUUGUGGUUCCAGGAGCCUGAAGCAUCCAGAUGCUGCAGUCCUCAGACCCCUGCCACCUACCAGAGGUAACCCCUGGUGGAGCUCACCUUGAUGAUGAUUCUGAAUCACUGACGGUUUCCAUAGGAACCAAAAAGCCACAUACAGACUUUUGGCUUGGAGAACCAAAGCCGAGAGUAAGGAGGUGCUGGGAGCCACACAGUGAGUAAAACAAGUGGACUGCAACAGAGGGAUCCAGGAGCUCACGUUCCCACAUACCGACCAGGAGCGGUGCACAGGGCUGGGGUGGCAGGGAGGACAGCAACCAUGAAGAAGCAUGCACGAUCCCUCCAGGCAAGUCCCCUCCCUGCCACCACCGGUGCCACUCUGAGCUUCAGUUUGGGCUAAUACCAACACGGCCCAGGGGUAAGGGGACAGGACAGGAAUGCACGGGGCCACGCAGUUAAGGCAAGUCAUCCUGCCCUCCUCCUGCCUGAAUUCUUGACAACAUCCCCGCCCUCUGAAACAUCUGGUCCUCCUGGCCUAGGACGUGUCACCCCUGGCUUUCUCCCUCAGCCCUGCUCAUCUUCCUUUCCAGCCCCCAGAUGCUGACAACUCACAGCCCCCUCCUCUACCUCCACAGAGUCCUCUGACACUCCCCACUUAGUACAGAGAUUUCCUCUGCCCUCUGGGACCAUUUAACGAACUGAGUGCUGGCCUCUCUUUCUGGAACAUUCACAGGCCCUGGGCACCCGACCACAUCUAAAUCUUAACUCGUGCUCUUCAUUCUCAAACCAGGUCCCACUAAAUCACAGCUAAAAGUUACUAAGAGCUGACUGUGUGCAGUUAAGCACCUCCUGUGAGUUAGCUCAUUUAAUCCUUGAAAUAAACAUCUGUGAGAGACAUUCCCUGUGUGCAGCUGAUAGUGGAGAAUGACACAGACUCAACCUCCACGAGGUCACAGAGCUGGGAAGGGAAGGAGCUUGGAUGCUAACCCUGCCAAGCUGUGUUCUUGAUAAUUACACAAUACUGCUUUCAGAAUCUCAGGGAAGGCGACCCGCCACCUGGGCGUCAUCCUUGACUUGCUUCUUGCCCGCACCUUCCAGUCCCACUUUAUCACCAAGUCCAGUGGGUUUUGUCUCCUGAGCAUCGUUCCAAGUCCAGCCUCUUUAACAGCACCAUCACCACCCUCGCCAACCUGCAGCUCGCAAACUGGGUCAGGACCUACCCGGGGUCCACUCCUGCGCCCUCACGUAGGACGCUGACCGUCUCCAGCUCUCCAGGGGGUGCCCCCUGCCAGGGAGGACUGCCACUCUGAGCGCGCUCAUCAUCGGUGACACGGCUCUGCUCUAUUACCAAACUACAGAAAUGGAGUCAUGUGCCUCAUAUGCCCUUGCUGCUGCAUUCUGACCACAGGGCCUUGAAACAUGCUGCUGCCUCUGCUAGGCUGGGGUGCGGAGUCAUUUGGCCAAGGUACCAUACUGGUGUGUGGACGACUGUAUACACAUCCAGACUGCAUCUGUCUUACUCAGAGCUUGUGCCCUUCACCAGGAAACAUACUGCUUUAAAGUUCAUGGCCUGCAGAACUCAGGAAUGACUAACAACCUCUGGAAUUCUAAGUACAAAUAAUUGUACAUCCAUCAGUUCCUGUGAUGGUAACUAUCUGAAGAUCUUCAGGUCUUUUAGAACCAUCUUGGUCUUUCAGAUAGGUCCAGCUUUACAAAAUUUCUCUAGUUCAAAUUCAAGCUUGAUUUCUUUGCUAAUGUGAGAUCUGAAUUUAUAAAGAUUGCACAUGGAGUCCUGGCUCCUCCACCCUGUAGCUGCGUGAUCUUGCCUUACAUAAGCCUCUUAGAUCCGGUUCCCUGGGGGCAAAAUGCAGAUGAUGGCCCCCCAAAGUUACUGUGGAUCAAUCACAUCCUCCACCUUGCUAUCUUGCCAUCAAAUGCAUGCCCAACAUUCUGAAUGAAUAAGAGUGGGCUGUAACUGAUGAGCCCCCGUACAACCUGAGGGCUGAGCCAGGAACUGUGGUGGUGGCUUCCAAGACAAGGCACAGAGCCUGUGCUCACGGAGAAUUACAGUGCCCCUGGGGAGUUAAAAAAAAGAUCUAUCUAGAUCCUUAAAGAAUCUUAUACGAUGCCCAGUGGGAUAAGCCGAUUAAGGAGAAGCAUCUAGAUGGUAGACAACUGCCACCCCGUGUCUGCAACUUCCCAAGUCUGAGCUCUGGGGACAGAACUGAGUGGCCUCUGUCCCCACCUCGCUCCUACAGAUGGGAUGAGAGACCCAGGGACAACUAAGCCCCACACAGCUGCAUCGACUUAGGGGAAGUGGGAGCAUGCAACUUUUAACAGCUUGACGAUGGGGAGACUGGAGCCUGUCAAAGCAAAGAGACUCUAAAGACCAAUAAACACGGUGCAAAUAAUUCCAAGAAUCCUUAUGGUUCUCAGCAGAAAAAAGCCUCACGCGAAAAUGAGUGUUGUCAGACUUGGGAGUGUGGUUUCUAUACUCAGCACUGGUUUUAAUUUGUUUUUUCCUAGCUUUAUUUACGUGCAACUGACAUAUAAACAGUGUUGGCCCUCACACUACAGUUUGAAACUGUUUGGGAAGUAAGAGUGAAGAGAAGCUCCAAAGAAUUUAUGCAAAAAAGAAAAAAAAUUAGUUAAGGGCGGAGGAGGGGUGGGGGAGACAAGCCUCUGACUGGCGGCCUGGCAAAGCAUGGGUGACAUGUCUUCAAUGAUGAAACUCCCAGGAAAAAUCAAAUCCAUGUGCUUGUGGAAGAGGGGAACGGAAAAGCCUGUCCAGUGUGAAGGGGUUCACUCUCCUAAGACGUUUUUGUCAACGCUUCAUUUUAGGCAAGAAAGUGACAUAAAGUACAUAAGGAGACUCCCUGUGGCUUCCUUUUCCCAAGAGUUCCACACAAAUGAGCCCUGCCAUCCAUUGGCCGAAACAGACGAUAAUGUAAGCAAAGGCAGGAGGCAUUUUCCCCUUACUUUCGCUGAGCGCCCAAGCCAUUGCCGUUGGAACUCUGUGCCAAACUCGGGUUUUUUUUUAAAGGCGUCACUUGAGUUUUAAAGGCUACGUAAGUGAUGGGAACAUAACCGUCUUGGGAAUCCACAAAUAACUUUUUAAAAAGUCAUAAAUCUGCAUCUCAUGCCUCAUAGUUUUCAACAACUGCGAGAAAUAGGUCAAAGCUCGAGCUCCGUAGGUUCCUUCCCUCUUCAGCGGUUGGAGCUAGUGGCCCUGGGCCUUUUCCACGUGCUUCCACAGUAAAUACCUAGGCCCUCCAGCCACACUUGGACCUGAACUGCUUUUCGGUCUCAUUUUUCAAAAAUCAUGAUAAAACACCCUUGGAAAUAG